GAGUUUUUGGUUUUGUAUUGGAAUGAGUUAAGUAUAAACCCCUUUACAAGUAUCAAUUGGAGGGCAAGUCUGGUGCCAGCAGCCGCGGUAAUUCCAGCUCCAAUAGCGUAUAUUAAAGUUGUUGCAGUUAAAAAGCUCGUAGUUGGAUUUCUGUUAAUAAUUUAUAUAAAAUAUUUUGAUGAAUAUUUAUAUAAUAUUAACAUAAUUCAUAUUACUAUAUAUUUUAGUAUAUGAAAUUUUACUUUGAGAAAAUUAGAGUGCUUAAAGCAGGCAUAUGCCUUGAAUACUCCAGCAUGGAAUAAUAUUAAAGAUUUUUAUCUUUCUUAUUGGUUCUAAGAUAAGAAUAAUGAUUAAUAGGGACAGUUGGGGGCAUUUGUAUUUAACAGUCAGAGGUGAAAUUCUUAGAUUUGUUAAAGACAAACUAAUGCGAAAGCAUUUGCCAAGGAUGUUUUCAUUAAUCAAGAACGAAAGUUAGGGGAUCGAAGACGAUCAGAUACCGUCGUAGUCUUAACCAUAAACUAUGCCAACUAGAGAUUGGAGGUUGUUCCUUUACU
rnacentral:rRNA from 1 species